CAUGUGUUCUGACCCUGGGGUAUGUAUUUUCUACCUGCAAGCUGCCCAGUGUGUCCUGAAGAUGUCUGGAAGAAAGGUGGGGGAGAUGAGUGCCACGUUAAUUGAAAUUAAACAGCUGCCACGUUCUGGCUGGGACAAAA